CUGUGGAUAUUCUCACUGUUUUGAUAUUUUAAUAAUUAGGGAAGGCUAAACAUUUUCUAUAUGAAGACCAUACACAUGUCCACAGACCUAGUUCUCAUCUAAAUCUAGUUUUAUAAAUGCUGAUAAUAAAC
ensembl:snoRNA SNORA72 Small nucleolar RNA SNORA72